rnacentral:rRNA from 1 species
CUGGCUCAGGAUGAACGCUGGCGGCGUGCCUAACACAUGCAAGUCGAACGGAGCUACUUGAAGGAGACUUCGGUCAACGGAAGGGUAAGCUUAGUGGCGGACGGGUGAGUAACGCGUGGAGAACCUGCCCUGUACAGGGGGAUAACAGUGAGAAAUCACUGCUAAUACCGCAUAAGCGCACAGUACCGCAUGGUACAGUGUGAAAAAACUCCGGUGGUACAGGAUGGCUCCGCGUUGGAUUAGCCAGUUGGCGGGGUAACGGCCCACCAAAGCGACGAUCCAUAGCCGGCCUGAGAGGGUGAACGGCCACAUUGGGACUGAGACACGGCCCAGACUCCUACGGGAGGCAGCAGUGGGGAAUAUUGCACAAUGGGGGAAACCCUGAUGCAAGCGACGCCGCGUGAAGGAAGAAGUAUCUCGGUAUGUAAACUUCUAUCAGCAGGGAAGAUGAUGACGGUACCUGACUAAGAAGCCCCGGCUAACUACGUGCCAGCCGCGGC